CUCUAAACGGAAGAUUCGUCUCCUUAUCUUCUCCGAUUCAUGUUCGCACUGCUUUUCUCUGUGAAUUUUCUUCGAAUCUCAUAUUAAGGUUUGAGUUUUUUCCCAAAUCAGUGGAGGCUUCACCAACACCACCGCCAUCGGAGCUACACCGGCGCCACCGCCAUCGGAGCUACACCGGUGCCACCGUUACCUUAAACGGAAGACUGGUUUCCUUCUCUUUUUCAAGUUCAUGUUCGCAUUGCUUAUCUCUGCGAAUUCUCUUUGAAUCUCUCGUUAAGAUUGUUUGUUGAUAACCAUUGCCCAUGGAAAGCAAAAUGCCUUUCUCUUCAAGUAUUAUCCAAGCUAGGCCCAAACUUGAGCAGCAGUGUUGUUCUUGAAGUUUUAGAUAUGGGUCUGCAUGAUGAAGCUGAAAAAGUAAGAACUGAAGCUGUCAUUUCUAUGCCAGUGAUGCUUUUCUGGUCUACUCUUGAUAUAUCAUCUCCUGUCAUUCAAAAGAUUGAGUACAUAAAGAGAGAUAAUGAGAAGGUAAAGAAAUUGGUUCCCAUAACACUUGGUCUGUUGUCAUGCCUUUAUGGAUGCAGAGGAGCUACCUCUGGCUUACAUACAGAUGAAUGCCU